CAGCAGCCGCGGGAAUACGAAGGGGGCUAGCGUUGCUCGGAAUGACUGGGCGUAAAGCGUGCGUAGGCGGCUUUUUAAGUCGGAUGUGAAAUCCCUGAGCUUAACUUAGGAAUUGCAUUCGAUACUGGGAAGCUAGAGUAUGGGAGAGGAUGGUAGAAUUCCAGGUGUAGCGGUGAAAUGCGUAGAGAUCUGGAGGAAUACCGAUGGCGAAGGCAGCCAUCUGGCCUAAUACUGACGCUGAGGUACGAAAGCAUGGGGAGCAAACAGGAUUAGAUACCCCCGUAGUCCCUGUCUCUUAUAC
rnacentral:rRNA from 1 species